rnacentral:rRNA from 1 species
UACGUAGGGUGCGAGCGUUAAUCGGAAUUACUGGGCGUAAAGCGUGCGCAGGCGGUUUUGUAAGCCAGAUGUGAAAUCCCCGGGCUUAACCUGGGAAUGGCAUUUUGGGACUGCAAGGCUUGAGUGCGGCAGAGGAGACUGGAAUUCCUGGUGUAGCAGUGAAAUGCGUAGAUAUCAGGAGGAACACCGAUGGCGAAGGCAGGUCUCUGGGCUGACACUGACGCUCAUGCACGAAGCGUGGGGAGCAAACAGG